rnacentral:rRNA from 1 species
GACGAACGCUGGCGGCGUGCUUAACACAUGCAAGUCGAACGGAAAGGCCCCCAUCUUGGUGGGGGUGCUCGAGUGGCGAACGGGUGAGUAACACGUGGGUGAUCUGCCCUGUACUUCGGGAUAAGCUUGGGAAACUGGGUCUAAUACCGGAUAGGACCAUGGUUUAGUGUCUCAUGGUGGAAAGAUUAUUGUUUUGGUGCAGGAUGAGCUCGCGGCCUAUCAGCUUGUUGGUGGGGUAAUGGCCUACCAAGGCGUCGACGGGUAGCCGGCCUGAGAGGGUGGACGGCCACAUUGGGACUGAGAUACGGCCCAGACUCCUACGGGAGGCAGCAGUGGGGAAUAUUGCACAAUGGGUGCAAGCCUGAUGCAGCGACGCCGCGUGGGGGAUGACGGCCUUCGGGUUGUAAACUCCUUUCGUUAGGGACGAAGCCGCACUUUUUUGGGGUGUGGUGACGGUACCUUUGUUAAGAAGCACCGGCUAACUACGUG